ACGUUCAUAUUAGUCAUAGACAUUAACGAGAAGAUCGAUAAACUUUAAAAUUUCCCGUUUGACCUUUAGUUAUAAUUUUGUUAACGAUAUCAGUCUGUGUUGGUGUUUUGUAAUUACGUACGUGCAUAAACUAAAAUGAUUUCCAAUAUAUUAACAAAAUGUGUCAUAUUCUUAUAUUUGAUUUUAUUGGUACUACCCACCAGUACAUCUAUGGAAAUAUCCUGUGCUAGGAAAGGAUUCCUUUGCUACAAAACAAAUAAAUUUUUCCAAUGCGUCCAUAACAAUGGAAAAUAUUUUCCAUCUGGGGCGCCAAUAGAUUGUCCAAAAGGGUUUAUAUGCAAAGACAAUUCCGAAUUAGAAUGUGACGUCGAAGAAUUUUUGAUCGAGAGAUAAUCAUAAUAAAAAUUUUGUUCUAUA